rnacentral:rRNA from 1 species
GACGAACGCUGGCGGCGUGCUUAACACAUGCAAGUCGAACGGAAAGGCCCUGCUUUUGUGGGGUGCGCGAGUGGCGAACGGGUGAGUAACACGUGAGUAACCUGCCCUUGACUGUGGGAGAACUUCAGGAAACUUGGGCUAAUACCGGAUAGGAGCUCCUGCUGCAUGGUGGGGGUUGGAAAGUUUCGGCGGUUGGGGAUGGACUCGCGGCUUAUCAGCUUGUUGGUGGGGUAGUGGCUUACCAAGGCUUUGACGGGUAGCCGGCCGGAGAGGGUGACCGGCCACAUUGGGACUGAGAUACGGCCCAGACUCCUACGGGAGGCAGGAGUGGGGAGUAAUGCACGAUGGGCGGAAGACUGACGCAGCCACGCCGCGUGCGGGAUGACGGCCUUCGGGUUGUAAACCGCUUUCGCCUGUGACGAAGCGUGAGUGACGGUAAUGGGUAAAGAAGCACCGGCUAACUAGGU